GUUGUGCGCUACGUGCUGAGAGCGCGAGGCUGCUAGCCGCAGCCCGGCGACGUCAAAGCCGAGUGCAGGGCUCGGCCGUCUUCCCCUGAGCCUCCUCUGCCUCCCGGGCUCUGCUCACCAGGGUCGGCACGGGUGCUCAUCAGCUUGGACCGCAGUGAUGGGCUCAGAGGGGUAGCAGCACCCAGCCUCUCUUCCUCCCCGCCGAGGCCGUCCCUGGUUCUUCCCUAGCUGCGCGGGGGCGAGGGCCGGUAAUUCAUUUCCAAUGCCGCCGCUGGCGGUUGCACGCGGAAGGGAAAGGCCGGCUACGUCCUCAGACACGCGAUUCCUGACCCACACCAGAGCUUGGUGUGGCUAUUAUCCAGCCUGGUUGACUGCACAUCUCUAGUUGAGUCAGGUUUCCCCAGCCCUCCAGCCACUGAAGUACAUCUCAUUUGCAGCUUUUGAAGCACUUGUAUCAGAGAUAAAGCAAGAUCCAAAGAAACUUUCUGCACAUCAAAUUUGUGAUGUAUAAAGAACAUGCCUCUCUUCCUGUAUCUGCUCCCUCCCACAUGCUUCUUCUUCCCUACUUGGCCCCUCUCAUUGUAAUACUCCCACCAGGUCAAAAGGAUUUCUUUGUAAAGAUAUUAAAAUGCAUGCUAAUUCAAUUAUCUGCUUCCCCCACUUUCUGGUUUAUAGAAACACUGCUAUAGUUUAUAUUAUCUGAUGUGGAGCUUAUUAAUGAAAAGCUUGAGUCUGGUCAUUCCAUAUAUAUAUGGUUUCCUCUCUUGAGUAUGUGGCAAAUAUAGAUUGAAUAACAAAAUAUUUUUAAAGGGUUAACUAUUGCUAGUAUCCCAAUCCUCUAUAAAUAUACUAGUAAGGUAGUAAUACCAGGAACUAACUAAGGCAGACUAAGAAUUAAAGGCAUUAUCUUGGAAAUCCAGGAGCAGAUUCAAAGGAAUUUAAGGCUUGGAAGAGAGUGCAGUCCAAGGAAAUCAGUGAAAAUUGGUACCUUCAAGGAGGGGGAAGACAUCUAGGGAAGGAAAAGUAGUGAAGAUAAUAAGAUUGUACAACAUGUCACCUUAUGCUGCUUAACAAGCAAGAAGGCAAGAAAACAAAGGGAGGAAAAGAUGUGUCAGGGGGCAAGAAGGGUGAACUGGGCUGGAUGGUAUUCCUCAUCAGUUCUGUCAGGGAAUCUCAGAGUUUGAUCUUAUUUGGAAAUAAAUCUGUAGCAGAUAAAGGUUAGUUAUGAUGAGAUCAUACUUGGGUAGGGUAGCUUUCUUCUGGAAUGACAUGUCUUUAAGUGAAGAGGAGAGAGAGGAGUAGGUUAGCAGAAACAUAUUUUGCUUAACAUGCACAAGGCUCUAGUUCAAUGAUCAGCAAGGAAAAGACAAGAGAACUGAAAGACCAAAAAAAAAAAAAAUGAAUAGACAUAGAAAAGAAAACCACUCAAUAACAGAGGUAGAGACAGAAGAGAGGAGUCUUCAAGUCAAAGAUCAUAAAGAACUUCCAGCAACUCCAGAGAGAAAGCAAUUCCAACUACAAGAAAACAAUCCAGGCGCUGCAUUAAGCCACUUAGACCGAGGUCAUAUGUUGCAAUAUCCCCAGCAAGCCCAGGUAGAAACUUACUCAUACCCAAAAUUGAAAAAGUAACUGGUCUGCUGGCAGAGGAUUCUAGCUGGAGCCUCUCUCCAACAUCUUUCCUUCAGGGCAGUUUUCAUAUAAGUCACUAUAGAUCUCCCUUUUAUACUCUGAGCAAAUCAAAUGGUCUCUGGAGAACAGGACUUUACACAACUGUAAGACAUGCUUUGAGU